rnacentral:rRNA from 1 species
UACGAAGGGGGCUAGCGUGGCGCGGAAUCACUGGGCGUAAAGCGCACGUAGGCGGAUUGUUAAGUCAGGGGUGAAAUCCUGGAGCUCAACUCCAGAGCUGCCUUUGAUACUGGCGAUCUCGAGUCCGGGAGAGGUGAGUGGAACUGCGAGUGUAGAGGUGAAAUUCGUAGAUAUUCGCAAGAACACCAGUGGCGAAGGCGGCUCACUGGCCCGGUACUGACGCUGAGGUGCGAAAGCGUGGGGAGCAAACAGG